AGCAGCCGCGGUAAUUCCAGCUCCAAUAGCGUAUAUUAAAGUUGUUGCAGUUAAAAAGCUCGUAGUUGAAUUUCGGGGUCAGUAGUUUGGUCGUGCCACUGGUAUGUACUGGGCUCACUGAUUCCUCCUUCCUGAUGAACUGUAAUGCCAUUAAUUUGGUGUUGCAGGGAAACUGGACUGUUACUUUGAAAAAAUUAGAGUGUUUAAAGCAAGCUAACGCUUGAAUACAUUAGCAUGGAAUAAUGAAAUAGGACGUUCGAUCCUAUUUUGUUGGUUUCUAGGAUUGACGUAAUGAUUAAUAGGGAUAGUUGGGGGCAUUAGUAUUCAAUUGUCAGAGGUGAAAUUCUUGGAUUUAUUGAAGACUAACUACUGCGAAAGCAUUUGCCAAGGAUGUUUUCAUUAAUUAAGAACGAAAGUUAGGGGAUCGAAGACGAUCAGAUACCGUCGUAGUCUUAACCAUAAACUAUGCCGACUAGGGAUCGGAUGAUGUUAAUUUUUUAAUGACUCAUUCGGCGCCUUA
rnacentral:rRNA from 1 species